rnacentral:hammerhead_ribozyme from 1 species
AUCCAGCUGACGAGUCUCAAAUAGGACAAAAAAGCGCUUCCUGGGU